AGUGAACGCUGGCGGCGUGCUUAACACAUGCAAGUCGAACGAGAACGGAUUAUAGCUUGCUAUAAUUGUCAGCUAAGUGACGCACGGGUGAGUAAUGUAUAGGUAAUAUGCCUCUUACUAAGGGAUAACAAAUGGAAACGUUUGCUAAUACCUUCUACUCCUUAUUAACCUAAGUUAAUAAGGGAAAGAUUUAUUGGUAAGAGAUUAGCCUGUAUUGUAUCAGUUAGUUGGUAGGGUAAUGGCUUACCAAGACGAUGACACAUAACUGGUUUGAGAGGAUGAUCAGUCACACUGGAACUGAGACACGGUCCAGACUCCUACGGGAGGCAGCAGUGGGGAAUAUUGCACAAUGGACGAAAGUCUGAUGCAGCAACGCCGCGUGGAGGAUGACACAUUUCGGUGCGUAAACUCCUUUUAUAUGAGAAGAUAAUGACGGUAUUAUAUGAAUAAGCACCGGCUAACUCCGUGCCAGCCGCCGCCGUAA
rnacentral:rRNA from 1 species